GCACUCCAGCAAACUCGAUCCAGCUGCUUUGGUGUUGGGUCGGGGUUACCAUGGUGCCAGAAUAACUCAGAGUGUAUCCAGAUGAGUCUCUGUCCAUUGGAGCUUGUCCCUACAACCUCUGAUACACCA
ensembl:snoRNA SNORA55 Small nucleolar RNA SNORA55